rnacentral:rRNA from 1 species
UGGGGAAUUUUGGACAAUGGGCGCAAGCCUGAUCCAGCCAUGCCGCGUGAGUGAUGAAGGCCUUCGGGUCGUAAAGCUCUGUCGGAGGGAACGAAUGCUCUUGAGGUUAACAGCCUCGGGAGGUGACGGUACCCUCAAAGGAAGCACCGGCUAACUCUGUGCCAGCAGCCGCGGUAAUACAGAGGGUGCAAGCGUUGUUCGGAAUCACUGGGCGUAAAGCGCACGUAGGCGGAUAGUUAAGUCAGGGGUGAAAUCCUGGGGCUCAACCCCAGAACUGCCUUUGAUACUGGCUGUCUCGAGGUCGAGAGAGGUUGGUGGAAUUCCUAGUGUAGAGGUGAAAUUCGUAGAUAUUAGGAAGAACACCAGUGGCGAAGGCGGCCAACUGGCUCGAUACUGACGCUGAGGUGCGAAAGCGUGGGGAGCAAACAGGAUUAGAUACCCAUGUAGUCCCUGAGCGGGCUGGCAAGGCGCAU